CAGCCGCCGCGGUAAUGCGAAGGGUGCAAGCGUUACUCGGAAUUACUGGGCGUAAAGCGUGCGUAGGUGGUGGUUUAAGUCCGUUGUGAAAGCCCUGGGCUCAACCUGGGAAUUGCAGUGGAUACUGGGUCACUAGAGUGUGGUAGAGGAUAGUGGAAUUUCCGGUGUAGCAGUGAAAUGCGUAGAGAUCGGAAGGAACAUCUGUGGCGAAGGCGACUAUCUGGGCCAACACUGACACUGAGGCACGAAAGCGUGGGGAGCAAACAGGAUUAGAUACCCCAGUAGUCCCUGUCUCUUAUAC
rnacentral:rRNA from 1 species